rnacentral:rRNA from 1 species
CCUACGGGAGGCAGCAGUGAGGAAUAUUGGUCAAUGGGCGGAAGCCUGAACCAGCCAAGUCGCGUGAGGGAUUAAGGCCCUGCGGGUCGUAAACCUCUUUUGCCGGGGAGCAGUGGUCCGGACGCGUCCGGACCGGGAGAGUACCCGGAGAAAAAGCAUCGGCUAACUCCGUGCCAGCAGCCGCGGUAAUACGGAGGAUGCGAGCGUUAUCCGGAUUUAUUGGGUUGAAAGGGUGCGUAGGCGGGCAUUUAAGCCGGCGGUAAAAUGGCGGGGCUCAACCCCGGCCUGCCGUGGGAACUGGGUGACUUGAGUGGGCGAGAAGUAUGCGGAAUGCGUGGUGUAGCGGUGAAAUGCAUAGAUAUCACGCAGAACCCCGAUUGCGAAGGCAGCAUACCGGCGCCCUACUGACGCUGAGGCACGAAAGUGCGGGUAUCGAACAGGAUUAGAUACCCGAGUAGUC